rnacentral:rRNA from 1 species
CUCAAAGGAAUUGACGGGGACCCGCACAAGCAGCGGAGCGUGUGGUUUAAUUCGUUGCUACACGAAGAACCUUACCUGGGUUUGACAUAUAGGUUGUAGGGAACUGAAAAGGGACCGACCCUUCGGGGAGCCUAUACAGGUGUUGCAUGGCUGUCGUCAGCUCGUGUCGUGAGAUGUUCGGUUAAGUCCGCUAACGAGCGCAACCCUCGUCGUAUGUUAUAUGUGUCAUACGAGACUGCCGGUAAAAGCCGGAGGAAGGUGAGGAUGAUGUCAAGUCAGCAUGACCUUUAUAUCCAGGGCUACACACACGCUACAAUGGUCUGUACAAUGGGUAGCCAAGCCGCGAGGCGGAGCCAAUCCUGAAAGCAGGCCUCAGUUCAGAUUGCAGUCUGCAACUCGACUGCAUGAAGCCGGAGUUGCUAGUAACCGCAGGUCAGCAAUACUGCGGUGAAUACGUUCCCGGGUCUU